rnacentral:rRNA from 1 species
GAUGAACGCUGGCGGCGUGCCUAAUACAUGCAAGUCGAGCGAACGGACGAGAAGCUUGCUUCUCUGAUGUUAGCGGCGGACGGGUGAGUAACACGUGGAUAACCUACCUAUAAGACUGGGAUAACUUCGGGAAACCGUAGCUGAUACCGGAUAAUAUUUUGAACCGCAUGGUUCAAAAGUGAAAGACGGUCUUGCUGUCACUUAUAGAUGGAUCCGCGCUGCAUUAGCUAGUUGGUAAGGUAACGGCUUACCAAGGCAACGAUGCAUAGCCGACCUGAGAGGGUGAUCGGCCACACUGGAACUGAGACACGGUCCAGACUCCUACGGGAGGCAGCAGUAGGGAAUCUUCCGCAAUGGGCGAAAGCCUGACGGAGCAACGCCGCGUGAGUGAUGAAGGUCUUCGGAUCGUAAAACUCUGUUAUUAGGGAAGAACAUAUGUGUAAGUAACUGUGCACAUCUUGACGGUACCUAAUCAGAAAGCCACGGCUAACUACGUG